rnacentral:rRNA from 1 species
UACGUAGGGAGCGAGCGUUGUCCGGAUUUACUGGGCGUAAAGGGCGUGUAGGCGGGGCGUCGCAUCCUGGAGUAAAUACCACCGCUCAACGGUGGUGUCAUCUGGGAGAUGGACGUUCUUGAGGGCAGUAGAGGAAAGCGGAAUUCCCGGUGUAGCGGUGAAAUGCGUAGAUAUCGGGAGGAACAUCGGUGGCGAAGGCGGCUUUCUGGGCUGUUCCUGACGCUGAGGCGCGAAAGCCAGGGUAGCGAACGGG